ACCCUAGCAUUCCCCUACAUUGGGGCAUCGAACACCCUCAGGCCCUAGGACCUCUCGGGGGAGAAUUCGUGAGAAGCUCUUAUGAAUCAGGCAUUUUGAUGGGGUGAUUGAUUAGUAGUCUAUCUCCCCCAAAGUCUGACACCUCUCCGCUGGCAAUUCCAAAAGGAGCUGGCAGACACAGGUAUGAGGGAGUCAGCAUUCAGGGAGGGGCUUAGUCAUGAACCUGAGUCCUGGUAACACAGGAGACGAGUGAAAGAGAAACCACCAUUAAGUUCCCAAGUCUCAGAGACUGCUUGCAAGAGCGUAGGCGGAAACAAUUUUAGGGAUGAGCUGAAAAACUGUUAGUAAUCUGACAGGGGUGGGGGGCUGGAGUGCGGAGGAGCUGGGGACCCAUGACUGCACUGUCUAACUGGGACGCUUCUGCUGUUCCAGGUUAGCUAGAAGGGACUCCAGCAGCCACUCAGCUUGUCCCUGUGCUAGUGAGCAGCCAGACACGGUGAAUAUUUAUAUGGUGAAAUGCGGCCCCUUGUGGCCCGAUUCAGGAAGAAGAAGGAAAAAAAAAAUCGAGCUCUGCCUAAGUGAUGCCCAACCUACUUGGAAGAGGGCAAGCCCAGAGACCCCAUGUGGGGAGUGGGCGUGGCGGUAGUCCCAAGAUGGCGUCCAGGAUUACAGCCAAGUCUUAUGACCUGCACCUGACUUCCUCAUACACCCGAAAAUAAGCCAUGUCCAUCAUCCAUCGUGAGAGCUGCGCAGGCGCACCAUGAUGCAAGAUCAGGCCUUUUGACGAAGGCCAAUGAACUGAGAUUUACACGGACUGGGCUGAUGGGGCAUGGUUGAGGGAUUAUAUAAGGGAUGGCGAUUGGGGGUUAGAGAAAGAUUCCUGCUUGCAUGUUGAAAGGUUCCUGAAUAAACUGCUUUGAGAAGAA